AUUUUUACUGAAUGAAUUGCCUUAUGGAUUGGAAUUGCUAAGAAUCAGAAUAAAAGUUGCAUGGAACACAUCACAAAUGUGAAGCUUGUUUCUGAUUCUUUCAUAGAUCACACUGUGUACAAAGACCAAUCUCAGCUGAUGUGGGCAAGAAGAUGGUCUAGAUAUCUCAAAGUAUUCAGCUUCAGUAUCAUCAAAAUGGCAUCACUUCCUGAAAGAGAACAGACUCAUUCGCAUACUGAAAUUAGAGAUGGAUACUGACCCAAAAUCCUGAAUUGGAACAACCCAAACAAGUUCAGAUCCAGAUCUAAACUUUGUGGCCCAGGCCCAUCCCUAAACAGAUACAGGGCACAGUUACAACAGCUGUAACGCUUGACCCCCAAGGACAGCCAGCAAAGGACAAUCUCCAGAAUCCAUCAUGAUCAUCAUUGUCCAGACGAAUCAAGGACUGCAAUUAAGGAAGCAGUGGGGCACAGCAGGGGAUGGCAUGGCCCUGAAGGAAGAUGCAGGAUGGGCUCAGUGUUGGGGCACAAUGGGUGAUGGCCCGGCCCUUGAAAGUAGAGGCGGGCUGGGCUAGCAUGGGAUGGCCUAGUCCUGAAGGAAGAGGUGGGGUGGGUGGCUAUGCUGGGACAGCAGGGGAUGGCCUGGUUCCGUGCAGGAAGAGAUGUGGUGGCCAGGGUCAGCUCCGCCCUCACACCUCUGCACAGGGCUAUCCUGGCCCCAGGCCCAGGCAUGGAGCCCCUGCCUCAUCCCCCGAAGGGAUGGAUGGAGUUCCCUGCCCCAGGUCAUGCUCCUCCAGCUCUCUGACCCCCUUCUGUCAAUUAGAGGGUGGGACUCAGAGGGCGCUAAUGAGCCUAGCUGCUCAUAAGUGGAGAGGGAGCAGUUUCGCUCCUUUCCAUUCUUCCUGUGCCUGGGAAGGAGCAGAAGAGGGUCAAGAGCCCCUUGAAGCCAACCCAACAGCCUCCACUUCAGUGUUUUCUGCAGGUGGGGGGUAUGACUCAAUAAGGUGGGAAGUGUUGAGGCAGGGGGAGUACAGGGCUCACAUUUAGGUUGGGGAGAAUGGGGUUGUGACGGUGCACCCCAUAAGGCUUUAUGGAAAUAUGCUUAUGAAUGUAUAUGUGACAUAACUGGAAUAUGUUUGAUGCUACAUAUGACAUGUAACACAUCUAUGUAAAGGUUAUGAUCUACUGAAUAUAUUCAUCCUAUUUGUAUGCAUGUGUCAUUGUUGUAGUCAAAGUUAUGAAUAUUGGCUGUAUAGUUGCUUGCUUUUAAAUAACCUUAGUAAGGCAUUUGAUCAGCUUCUUUAGAAUGGAAUUUGCAAGUUAAGUGCCCAAUCAAGAAGCAAUUAAUGCACAAUGGAUAUUGGAAAGCUCCAAUCCACAUAAGAAGUCUACAUGAGGACAUUCAAGGUAGCAUGUGGACAAUGGCUGCUGCCUAUAAAAACUGAGUCAUGCAUGAACAUGUGACUUGCCCAUGUGACUCCAAAACUCCAUCUUGGAGCUGGACUUUGCAUAGGAGAGAGGAGGGGUUCUCCACCCACAAGAGAAAGUCUAUUUAAACCCCUGGGAGACCCCUCCAUUUUGUCAUCAGCUGGCUCAAGAGAGAGCCUCUUCACCCCCAUGUAUACCUGAAAGAAACUGGAACAAAGGACAAUAAUUACAUGGGGUGUGAGUGAUUGCUGGACCCAGACUAGAAGGAGACUAGUCUCUAAAAGGAAGCUUAUUGAAACAUCUGAGGGUGAGAUUUUAUCUGUAUUCAGUUUUCUUACUGUACAAGACUUAAACUUGUGUGUUUCAUUUUAUUUUGCUUGGUAAUUCGCUUUGUUCUGUUACUACUUGGAACCACUUAAAUCCUAAUUUCUGUGUUUAAUAAAAUCACUUUUUACUUAU